rnacentral:rRNA from 1 species
UACGUAGGGGGCAAGCGUUGUCCGGAUUUAUUGGGCGUAAAGAGCUCGUAGGCGGUUCGGUAAGUCGGAUGUGAAAUCUCCAGGCUCAACCUGGAGGGGUCAUUCGAUACUGCCGUGACUAGAGGUCGGUAGGGGAGUGUGGAAUUCCUGGUGGAGCGGUGAAAUGCGCAGAUAUCAGGAAGAACACCCGUGGCGAAGGCGGCUUUCUGGGACGGUACUGACGCUGAGACGCGAAAGCGUGGGGAGCGAACAGG